CUGGUCGCUGGCACCAAGGUGCGAGCCAGUGCUGCAGGCACCCGCGGCAGCUGCCGGUGCGCAGUAGGCACUUCACCCCUACCAGCAGCUGCAGGCUUUCGCCGGUGCACCGGGGCGUCGCAGAGCAGACACAGGCCUGUCCUGGAGCUGGGUCUGGCCGUGCUGGAGCGGCACCUCACUGGCAAGGGCUGCUCGGUCUGUAGUGGCCGUGGUGAAACAGCAGAGGUCUCGCCGGGGUGAGGUCGCGGGCGGCUGAAGAUGGGAGGCUGUGGGCGUCCCGUCCUCCCCGUUCGAGGCCUGCUGCUCUGCGCCUUGGCUCUGCUCGUCUGCGCCCAGCACCCUCCGGCCGCAGCAGGUUUUCCAGAGUCCAGCGGUACUUACAACUCCUCCGCGGCCUCCAACUCCUCCGCGGCCUCCAACUCCUCCGCGGCCUCCAACUCCUCCGCGGCCUCCAACUCCUCCGCAGCACCCGACUCCUGGGUGGACGGGACAGAAGAAACACUGCUCACCUGCCAGAGCUUCCGCUGCUCCGGGGAGAGGUGUUACCAGGACGAAGCCUACGCCAACGAAACGCUGACCUGCCAAAACGGCUCCUACUGUGAGCUCUACCGAUUCUCCAGCACAAACUACACAGCCGGGUGCACCCGCGAGUGCAGCGCGGAGAGGUGCAGGACCAACAGCAGCGUGAGCGUGCAGCAGUGCGCCCUGGACUGUUGCGACUCGCCCCUCUGCCUUCAGCUCAACGCCAGCUCCUAUGGUGACCUGCUGCCCAGCACCACGCCAGCCGCCACCACCGCCACCGCCACCCCCCGAGCUCCCGCCCGAAAUGUAGGUAUCGGCUGGACGCGGGGUGRCCGGCUUGCCCUGGCCGCA
rnacentral:lncRNA from 1 species